GUUAUCCAAGGAAUGCCACUUUACUUUAGAUAGUGAUAGGGGGUGGUAGCAGCAUGCGAGAUCUUUUCGGUAGCCUAUACUUUUUCUACCAAACUGAAGCUAAAUAUCCAUGCACUCUUUUCCCAGUAUGUGAACUUGAACCUUUCUUUCAUCUGGGGGUUGGUAGAUUCAAUUUCUCAUCUCUUCUGUGAGGUGACUUCCACGGUGUGAUAUACGAUUUUUCAGUGGUUAGAAUGUGGGGUUAUUGGUUCUCCAUGAGGAUCUUAGGUCUCUCUUUGAAUUAUUUAUCUUUUUAUUCAUCAACUAAUGUGAAGGAUGUGGAUGGAAAAAACAUUUUCCUGACUUAAAAAUGGCAUCAACUUUUGUAUUUUCUUUGCUUGACUAAAUUCUAUCUUCUAUCUAAAUCAAUAGAUGUUUGAGAGUC